UCGAAUUUGAGCAAUUUCCACCUCGGAUUAAUCACACCAAAUACAUUGAUAUAUGCCAGCCAUUGAAUGGAAGGUUACAAGAAGUAUAAAAUAAACAUGUAAUUCCAAUUUUAUUUUUCGUCUGGCAAAAUUUCUUGGACAUACGUUGAUGCCCAAACCAAAGAUCCAAGAACAAUCCUCCAGGGACCUGUCCUGUUCCUGAAAAAACAGAAGUAAAAAUGUUCAAAGCUACUGCAAUAAUAAAAAAAGAUUUGAUUUAAAACAUGAAGCAUUCGCACCUCUACUCUUUGACAUAUGAAUUCGUUUGCGGGGUAGAUGCUUGGCAAGUUGAAAU
rnacentral:lncRNA from 1 species